UACGUAGGGUGCAAGCGUUGUCCGGAAUUAUUGGGCGUAAAGAGCUCGUAGGCGGCCUGUCGCGUCGGAUGUGAAAGCCCGGGGCUCAACCCCGGGUCUGCAUUCGAUACGGGCAGGCUAGAGUGUGGUAGGGGAGAUCGGAAUUCCUGGUGUAGCGGUGAAAUGCGCAGAUAUCAGGAGGAACACCGAUGGCGAAGGCAGUGGUCUGGGCCGAUACUGACGCUGAGGAGCGAAAGCGUGGGGAGCGAACAGG
rnacentral:rRNA from 1 species